rnacentral:rRNA from 1 species
UCAGCAUGUGUGUUAGUGGAAGCGUCUGGAAAGGCGCGCGAUACAGGGUGACAGCCCCGUACACAAAAGUGCAUGUGCUGUGAGCUCGAUGAGUAGGGCGGGACACGUGGUAUCCUGUCUGAAUAUGGGGGGACCAUCCUCCAAGGCUAAAUACUCCUGACUGACCGAUAGUGAACCAGUACCGUGAGGGAAAGGCGAAAAGAACCCCGGCGAGGGGAGUGAAAAAGAACCUGAAACCGUGUACGUACAAGCAGUGGGAGCACAGGUUUACCUGUGUGACUGCGUACCUUUUGUAUAAUGGGUCAGCGACUUAUAUUCUGUAGCAAGGUUAACCGUAUAGGGGAGCCGUAGGGAAACCGAGUCUUAACCGGGCGUUAAGUUGCAGGGUAUAGACCCGAAACCCGGUGAUCUAGCCAUGGGCAGGUUGAAGGUUGGGUAACACUAACUGGAGGACCGAACCGACUAAUGUUGAAAAAUUAGCGGAUGACCUGUGGCUGGGGGUGAAAGGCCAAUCAAACCGGGAGAUAGCUGGUUCUCCCCGAAAGCUAUUUAGGUAGCGCCUCGUGAACUCAUCUCCGGGGGUAGAGCACUGUUUCGGCUAGGGGGCCAUCCCGGCUUACCAACCCGAUGCAAACUGCGAAUACCGGAGAAUGUUAUCACGGGAGACACACGGCGGGUGCUAACGUCCGUCGUGAAGAGGGAAACAACCCAGACCGCCAGCUAAGGUCCCAAAGUCAUGGUUAAGUGGGAAACGAUGUGGGAAGGCCCAGACAGCCAGGAUGUUGGCUUAGAAGCAGCCAUCAUUUAAAGAAAGCGUAAUAGCUCACUGGUCGAGUCGGCCUGCGCGGAAGAUGUAACGGGGCUAAACCAUG